rnacentral:rRNA from 1 species
GAUGAACGCUGGCGGCGUGCCUAAUACAUGCAAGUCGAGCGAAGCGGGGACGGGUGCGUAACACUUGGAUACCCUCCUAUAUGACUGGGAUAACUUCGGGAAACCGGAGCUAAACCGGAUACUUACAGAUGGAUCCGCGCUGCAUUAUCUAGUUGGUAAGGUACCGGCUUACCAAGGCAACGAUUCAUAGCCGUACUGCGAGGGUGACCGACCACACUGUUACGGAGACACGGCCAAGACUCCUACGGUAGGAGGCAGUAGGGAAUCUUCCGCAAUGGGCGAAAGCCUGUCGGAGUAACGCCGCGUGAGUGAAGAAGGUCUUCGGAUCGUAAAACUCUGAUAUGAGAGAAGCGUUACCGAAGCAGAACGCCACGGCUAACUACGUGCCAGCAGCCGCGGUAAUAC